AACUGUUCUCAGUUCUUCUGCCUUAUUUCUGGCCUCCGUUGCAACUGUUUUGACCUAGUGAAGGCCUAGACUUUCUCAGACAGAUUUCUUUUAACUCUUCUGCCCUGACUCCAGUCUUCACUGGGAUGCUGCCUUGCACUUAGGGAAGGUUCACAUGCCUCAAGGAUCUCUCUCUCUCAGAUUUCUUGACUUUCCCUCAGUCUUCAGUAUAGUCCUCCUCUGUGCCUGGUGAAGACCUGUGGUAAAGUGCUGGCAGGGCUAGGCUUACACCCAAUUUAUGGUCAUCUUGCUCAUGCUCAUCCUGCACAAUUUCUAGCAUUUGGAGAAUGUUUCUCAUGGUAGCAUCUAAUGCCUGUGGCUGCUGAGAGAAAGCAGCGAUGAGGGGAAGACACUGACCUCUGUUUGGAGCUGCCGGCUUCCCCUUGAAGGAAUAGGAGUAGACCUGCUGAACUAUCACAUGAGAGAAGAGGCCCAAAAGCUUGCACACUACAGUCAAGCUGGCCCUUAAAGAGAUGGACCUAGAAGAUGCUGAGCCAGAUGUACUCAAUUACUUCUCCAAAAUUCAUCAAUUAGGAAUACAACAUGUUUAAGACCACAGAACAUCUGCAUAGGCUGUAAAUUUCGUUGAAUGAUGGAUGCAAAGAUGGAAGACAGAUGGAUAGAGGAAAAGACAGAAUCAGAUACUGGAUGAGUUAGUACUGCUGCCUGUGCUUCAGAGCUGUCUUAUUACCACAAGGCCGGCAAGCAUCAAUGUCCCCACAUCCCCCUCUGCCUCCCCCUGAAAUGUACCGAUUUAUAUGAAAAUUAAGAUUACAAAUUAAAGCCUGGCUAUCCUGGAGUUUUCCAGUUCAUCAGCCAUCCAAUAAAAAUGAUGUCAAGCCUGUAUGCAUAAUUCCCGGAAGAUUACUUUCGUCCUUACAGCUAAGCCCUGUCCCUGAUAUGAAAGAUCUCUAUCCACUUUUAUUGAAAUAAAGAACUAACAUCAUAAUCCCAAUAUUGAGGUAUAAUCUUCAUUAUCUCCUGACCCUCUUGAGGUUCCCCCAAUCUAUAUUACUUCAGAUUUGGUUUAUGUGUAAUCCUUAUGUAUUUACUUUUAUUGAGAUAGGAUUAAAAACUAAAAAAAAAGCUUCAA
rnacentral:lncRNA from 1 species